GUUACAUCCUCACAGUCAGACAGCAUUGAGAUAAGUGGUAGAAAAAUGGGAAGAGGGAGUUAAUGCAGUAAUCCAGCUUUGAAAUAAUAAAAAAAAAAAAUUGGCCUGAGAUACAGGGCUGAAAACAAAGACGUUCAAACCUUGAGCUAAAUAGAAGAGGAAGAAGCCAAAAUCUGUGCCAGAGGUUUGACUGCUGGGUUUACUCAUAGCUUCAGGUCACUUUCACGGGGCUUGGUCUGCUGGGGGGAUUUUCUGAGAAGCAUUUGAAUGGCUGAAGACCUACAGUGCUGACCCCCGACCUGAGCAAGGUUUGCUGCUCGCAGUAUUCCUGGAAUGACACAGGAGCUCCUGCUGGAGUCAGGCCAGGACAUUAAACAAAGCUGAUUUUGAGGGCAAGAGGACAGAUCUCCUGCAAAGAGAUACUGAUCACUCUGCAGCAUUUGACUCUGUUGACCGUGAAUCCUUGCUGGGCCCCAUGAGGAGAGGGGCUGCCAUCUGGCGUGAAUGAUUUGGUGGGACAAAGCUGGUUUGGAGCGAUGUGGACAUAUGCCCCAUGGCUAAUUGUGGUGCUGUCCCACAGGGACCAAUGCUUUUCUCUUUUCUGCUGACCUACCUGGGCACAAAGUCACUGUCCCUGAAAGUGUUCCAGAGCUGUGUGGAUGUGGCACUGAGGGACAUAGUGGGCGUGGUGGGGGUGGAUUGAUGGUUGGAUGAAAUGAUCUUAGAAGUCUUUUCCAACCUUAAUGAUUGUGUGAUUCUAAGGUGUGGGAAACAGUGAUUUUCCCCAACCACUUCAAGAGCAUAAUCUCAUUGUGCCAUACUCUCUCCUCAAGCUUUAAGAGGACACAUAGUCAAAUUCAAAUUUCUAGUCUGCGAAAGUUUUAGUAGUCUUGACCAAAGUAUCUUUAAGACAUCACCUUAUCAGCACUUUCUGAAUUAUGAGAGAGUCUCUCCAUGUCCCACUGCAGCAAAAGGUAAGAUGGGGAAAAGGCAGCUCUCUGGUAUCCUUCUCCAGCACUCGGUGUAAGCAUUGGUCAGCUGCAAUCUAAAGUGUGCAAAAAAGACUCCUCAUCUGGGAUAGCUAGAACUUGCCUUUCAGAGAUGCCCAGCAUCUUCAGAUUGCUUUGUACUUCUCAGGAGUGGGGGAUGUUCAGUGCCUCUGGAAAAUAGGUCCCUUGUGACUGGAGCAAGGUAGCACCGUUUUUCACCCUCUGUGUUGCAACUGGCCUUAAGGGUUUUCAGCCUUCCCAUCCCACAUGCUGGCCUCAGAGUGGCUGACAGGAUGGUGUGGUUACUGGUGCAGUGCAUAAUCUUUCUCUUCUCCCCCCUCUAUGUAAUUCUUAUCUUCAAUGUUAUGUAUGUUUAAGCCAUACACUUCUAGAAAGGAGUGUUAAAAAACUCAACUAAAUUCAGAAUAGAGAGAUGAAAAGAAGCAUUCUGUGGCUUUGGCAAAGCUGGCAGUACUAAGGGGAGAGACAAUCCCAGGCAUUCUUUGCUAUUGAAGUUAAUUGCAGGCAUCUAGGGUUUAAAGACCUUGUGUUAUUGAUGGGGGUGUGCUAGCAACAGGAGGGAUUGACUCUAACAUUAAACUGGAAUUUAGCAUGUACAGUACAUUAUCGAGAGAAAGAAAUAAGAACAAAUGAGACUCUUAUUAUCUUUUAUUAUUAUCUUUUAAUUCCCCCCAUUUUCCUUCUGUAUGCUCACUCUCUCAGCCCUCUCUCUUUCAAUAAUUACAAUAAUCAACUUACAAUGAUAACAGAAAUAAUCUCCUGCAAGAUAGCUAAACAAACCACAUGUUAUCUGUACUCA